AGGGGAGGCGCGGGGAGCUUGCUGCGGCUCCUCACCCGGACCUGGGAGAAGACGCCCCCCACCCUCUCUAGUUCGCCCUCUCCAUUCAAGUUUGCCGGCCCCUGCCGCCGAGAUCCGGGAAUGGCACCAGCCGCCCGCCCUCCGCUGUGCCCUGUUUCCAGCCACCGCUCAGAAAUUUAGGUCAAGGACGUCGGGAGCAAACCCACACCCUGGCGCUCCUUUGGCGGCCCCCGAGACGCCCCAGGAUCGGGGGGCUUCAGGAUGGCGGAGACCCUCCUGCACAAACACCAGCCACAAGUUUUAUUUUCCUUUUGCGCUGGAAGUUCUCUCUGGCUCUGGCUCCACACCGGCACGUCUUGCGCGGUUCCCCGCCCUUCCCCAGUAGAGGUACCAAUCCGUGCCCGGGAAAGGUUAUUUUGGAACUUUGAGAAACUGACGCGAUUCCAGUGGCGAGAAAGUGCCGAAGAAAGGGUUUCCGCGUUAAUCAUACAGUGUUUUAAAAAUGUAAUAAGAUAGGUUAUAGGAGUCAAGGUCACAUGAUUGAGGUUCAAAGCAAAUGAUUAGGAGACAAAGGAAUACACUCAACACCAAAACUGAACCAAAUCCACUGUGGGCUUUGGAAAAAUGGAAUAUUGGGAAAAUCUCAACACCAGCCAUAGCCUUGAGUGACCAGACCCUCAGUCUCCCUGUUCCCUAAAUUGCAGUAAUUCCUCCUUGACAGGAUUGAUGUGGUGAAGCUCACUCAAUGUAGCCCCUGCAUCAGGAGAAUUCAAGCAGCACAAUAUCAGUCCUCAACCCUCUGAAAGUCUCAACAGCCCAAGACAAUGUUGGACACUUCCUUCUUCAAACUCAAUCUUCCAGGAUGGGUUUAAACACAUGGUGAUGCCACUCAAAUUGAAAUCUCCAGCCCCACCCUUCCUGAAGAGCUCCAGGCUCUGGUCAAUUUCCUAUUCAACAUCUCCACUUAGCCUUUCUAAAGGAAGCCCAAGUUCAAAUCCAUCUUUCUUGCUGCUGCAUCCCAGAUCUCCCACCUGAGGCCCUGCAACAGCUUACAAAACAGUCUUCCCACAUACACCCUUACUCCACUUACAUGCCUGGAAAUCUUUCCCAGACCUCUCUGACAGGGUCGAAUGCCCUUUGAUAUGCAGUUACCUUACCAGAACGUCCUCUGUGUACCUUACCCUGUAUGAUCAUUUGCUUUAUUGCCCAUCUCCUCUAAGCCAGAAGCUCCCGUGCCUUUCUGCUCUCCAUGUACUAGCACAGUGCCUGCUGGCGCACGGUUGACGCUCAAUAAAUAAUGAUUGACUGAAUGAGUGAGUGGAUGAAUGAAUGAAUGAUGGCCAACAUUUAAUUUCAUUCUAGGAUUCUUUUUGUAUUCAUGUUCAUAAGUCAAAUUGGCUGCAGUUUUUCCUUUUCUUACUGCCUUUGUCUGGUUAUACUGGUCUCAUAAAAUGAACCGGUAAAUGUUCCUUCUUUUUUCAUUUUCUGGAACAGUGUGUGUAAGAUUGGAAUUAUGUGUUCCUUGAAUGUUUGGUAGUUUUGCAGGUAAAUUGUCUGGGUCUGGGAUAGACAUUUCGUGGGUUGAUUUUUAACUACUGAUUCCAUUUCUUUAAUGCUCGUAGAUCUCUUCAGGUUUUCUGUUUUCUUCUUGAAUCUAUUUUUAUACACUAUGUUUUUCAAGGAAAUUAUCCAUACCAUCUAGGUUUUCAAAUGUGUUGACAAAAUGCUGUUCAUAGUUAUCUCUUAAUGUAUUUUAAUCUCUGCUCUAUCUAUCCAUAAUGUUUUUUUUUCAUUCUAAAUAUCAUUUUAUAUGUAUUUUUUCUUAUCUGGAUCAGCUGUGCCAGAGAUCUUUUUUUUUUACUAAUGUUUUCUUUCUACUUUCUAUUAGUGUUUCCAAAGAACCAGACUUUAGUUUCAAUAUUGUUUCUUUUUCUGUUCCAGUAAGUUUUGUUCUUAUAUAUUAUUAUAUAUUAUAUUGUUAUAUAUG
rnacentral:lncRNA from 1 species